rnacentral:rRNA from 1 species
CCUACGGUGGGCAGCAGUGGGGAAUAUUGCACAAUGGGGGAAACCCUGAUGCAGCGACGCCGCGUGAAGGAAGCAGUAUUUCGGUAUGUAAACUUCUAUCAGCAGAGAAGAAAAUGACGGUACCUGACUAAGAAGCCCCGGCUAACUACGUGCCAGCAGCCGCGGUAAUACGUAGGGGGCAAGCGUUAUCCGGAUUUACUGGGUGUAAAGGGAGCGUAGGCGGUUUAGCAAGUCAGAAGUGAAAGCCCGGGGCUCAACUCCGGGACUGCUGUUGAAACUGUUGAACUAGAGUGCAGGAGAGGUAAGUGGAAUUCCUAGUGUAGCGGUGAAAUGCGUAGAGAUUAGAAGGAACACCAGUGGCGAAAGCGGCUUACGGGACUGUAAAUGACGCUGAGGCUCGAAAGCGUGGGGAGCAAACAGGAUUAGAUACCCGUGUAGUC